CAUUAUAUACAAGAAAUUUCAAGGUCGCUAAGUUUUUUAUGCAAAUUUGUAUGAACUUUAAUUGAAAAAUGGAGACAUGGUACAUUGGAGCUUGUGACAGAAUAAGCAUGUUUACGUGUGUGACACACAGACAUUCUGAUUGAGUUCUAUGUUACUUUGUGAAAAAUAAAAUAAUAAACUUUAUCCAACAGUCUGCAACGUGGAUAUAGAUCGAUGAUACCAAACUGUAUGAAGCAAGCAAUAUGAGAAACACAAAAAGUUACGAAAUAUUUUCACCGAAUCACAUUCUGAUGAUGCAUUUGAACUAUUAAUCAUGAAAGCAUAUUACAGUACCUGGUGACACUGCUCAUCUUAUCCUGUAUUUGUGGAAAAUGACGGUGAAAUUCAACUACCAUUUUGCGACAUAGUGGAGCAUUGAUGAAAGCAAGCAUUAUAAAUACUGUCUCCAAAUCCGAAACUUUUGCUCCUGCCUUAACUUAGACGGCAUGCAGAACAAUACGUAUUCUUCAUUCGUGUGUACUCUGAGCGAACAACGAAAUUAGGAAAAUGAAUUAAUGAAUAAUACACUAGUUAUAAAGAUUAACGUCUUCAGCUGACUACUUCCAACGGAGUAUAUUUCUGCCGUGCCAUUCUCGUUCACUAGAAACUGCAAAGUCCGCUGUUAUUUAAGAAACGCAGUUAUAUUAAACAGACGUGUAACAUUGCAAAGGCCCGAGAAGGGUUAAUGUGGUACUACGCUCCAGCCGAGGAUUAAUCCUGGAUUGAAAGACUAAAUGUGAAUAAUUAUUGUAUUCGUUGGAGAAAUAUAAAACACCUGCUACAAUCAUCAAGUGUUGGUUCCUGAUUUACAAGUUUAACCAGCGAAAUUCAAAUGUUUACUUUAUGGAAA